rnacentral:lncRNA from 1 species
GCUCAAGCUUGCAUUUGAGAGAUUGAUGCUUAAUACACUGUUGUCACUGCUCCACUUGAUUCCUCUCCAAGAAGAGAGAUUUCCAGCAUUGACCCAACUAGAGAGUGCAUCUCCCCCUUGGUUCUUGGGCUGCUCUUAAAGCAGAGCAAUGUGGCUUCAUGACCUUCAUAUGUUCCCGAGCACUUAGUUUGUGUGUCAGUGAAUGCCCCCUGCAGCGCGCAUAAGAGUGCCAGAAGCAAAAACCAUGAUAGCCAAAAGAGAUUCAUGCUUUUGAAGAAACUAUUGGCGUUGUGAACUCAGAAGCCACAUUUGUAGACUGGAUGACAGUCUUUUUUGUCUGGAAUUAGAAUUGUUCAAGAGUCUGCCGGCGCUGAGAUUCCAAAUCUCUCCCUUGAAUGCAGGUGGCGCACUGCAAAACCGGACGAAGCGGUUCACGCGGAAAGGAAUCCCUAUCGUCGUCACAACAAAACAAACUUCCAAGAUCUGUAAUAGCUGAUCGAAUAGGCUCCUCCAUUUCUAGGUCACACUAGAUUCCUGUUGUUUAUUCUAGAGGCCAUAUGCUUUCGACUGCUCACACACAAGCGGAAAAUCCUGGC